rnacentral:rRNA from 1 species
UACAGAGGUCCCAAGCGUUGUUCGGAUUCGCUGGGCGUAAAGGGUGCGUAGGUGGUGAGGUAAGUCGGAUGUGAAAUCUCCGAGCUCAACUCGGAAACUGCAUUGGAAACUACCUUGCUCGAGGGUUGGAGGGGGGACUGGAAUGCUUGGUGUAGCAGUGAAAUGCGUAGAUAUCAAGCGGAACGCCAGUGGCGAAGGCGAGUCCCUGGACAACUCCUGACACUGAGGCACGAAAGCUAGGGGAGCAAACAGG